AGGAGCUGUUCGUAACCGUAAUCCCCGUUCAACCUCACCUCCUUGCUUAUUCAGCCUAUAUACCGCCGUCGCCAGUUUACCCUGUGAAGGACCAAUAGUAAUCAAAAUUGGCAUCGCCCAAAACGUCAGGUCGAGGUGUAGCAUAUGGGAGGGGAAGAAAUGGGCUACAUUCGCUAAUAUAGCGUACACGAAUGAUACAUUGAAACAUGUAUACUGAAGGAGGAUUUAGCAGUAAGUCGCAAAUAGAGUGGGCCACUGAAGCGGGCUCUGAAGAGCGUACACACCGCCCGUCACCCUCAA
rnacentral:rRNA from 1 species